CUCUACAAAUGAAAAUUUAGAACAGUUUACAAGUGAAAAUCCCUUUAUAUCUCGUGAAAUAGAGGAGAACGAAAAAGAACAGAUGCAAGACAAAACAAGCCUCUCCUCGAUAGUCAAAAGUACCAAGUUUGUAAUGCACACAUGUUUUGUUUCCAUCGCCCAUUUACGCUGCUUUUCUGUUAUUGGAAUGAUCAACUCCUUGUUGAAACGUUUGGCCCAUGAUUUUUAUGAAGUCGAUUACUAUCUCA